GAUGAACGCUAGCUACAGGCUUAACACAUGCAAGUCGAGGGACCGGCGCACGGGUGAGUAACACGUAUCCACCCUGCCCUUUACUCGGGGAUAGCCUUUCGAAGGAAAGAUUAAUACCCGAUAUAACGUAUGGGGAUUCGUUCCAUUAGGUUGUUGGUGAGGUAACGGCCCACCAAGCCUUCGAUGGAUAGUGGUUCUGAGAGGAAGGUCCCCAACCAUGGAACUGAGACACGGGCCAAACUCCUAAGGGCUGCAGCAGUGAGGAAUAUUGGUCAAUGGGCGCUAGCCUGAACCAGCCAAGUAGCGUGAAGGAUGAAGGCUUAUGGGUCGUAAACUUCUUUUAUAUAAGAAUAUGUAUUAUAUGAAUAAGGAUCGGCUAACUCCGUGCCAGCAGCCGCGGUAAUUC
rnacentral:rRNA from 1 species